UACGGGGGGGGCAAGCGUUGUUCGGAAUUACUGGGCGUAAAGGGCGCGUAGGCGGCCUGCUAAGUCGGACGUGAAAUCCCUCGGCUCGACCGAGGAACUGCGUCCGAUACUGGUGGGCUUGAAUCCGGGAGAGGGAUGCGGAAUUCCAGGUGUAGCGGUGAAAUGCGUAGAGAUCGGGAAGAAUACCCGUGGCGAAGGCGGCCAGCUGGGCCAGGUCCGACACUGAGGCGCGAAAGCGUGGGGAGCAAACAGG
rnacentral:rRNA from 1 species